UACGGAGGGUGCGAGCGUUAAUCGGAAUUACUGGGCGUAAAGCGUACGUAGGCGGUUAGAUUAGUCGGAUGUGAAAGCCCCGGGCUUAACCUGGGAAUUGCAUUCGAUACUGUCUGGCUUGAAUGUGGAAGAGGGAAGUGGAAUUCCAGGUGUAGCGGUGAAAUGCGUAGAUAUCUGGAGGAACAUCAGUGGCGAAGGCGACUUCCUGGUCCAACAUUGACGCUGAGGUACGAAAGCGUGGGGAGCAAACAGGAUUAGAUACCCUCGUAGUCC
rnacentral:rRNA from 1 species